rnacentral:rRNA from 1 species
UAGGGAAUCUUCGGCAAUGGACGAAAGUCUGACCGAGCAACGCCGCGUGAGUGAAGAAGGUUUUCGGAUCGUAAAACUCUGUUGUUAGAGAAGAACAAGGACGUUAGUAACUGAACGUCCCCUGACGGUAUCUAACCAGAAAGCCACGGCUAACUACGUGCCAGCAGCCGCGGUAAUACGUAGGUGGCAAGCGUUGUCCGGAUUUAUUGGGCGUAAAGCGAGCGCAGGCGGUUUCUUAAGUCUGAUGUGAAAGCCCCGGGCUCAACCGGGGAGGGUCAUUGGAAACUGGGAGACUUGAGUGCAGAAGAGGAGAGUGGAAUUCCAUGUGUAGCGGUGAAAUGCGUAGAUAUAUGGAGGAACACCAGUGGCGAAGGCGGCUCUCUGGUCUGUAACUGACGCUGAGGCUCGAAAGCGUGGGGAGCAAACAGG